AGAGUUUGAUCAUGGCUCAGGAUGAACGCUGGCGGUAUGCUUAACACAUGCAAGUCGAACGGUCUUUUCGGAGACAGUGGCGGACGGGUGAGUAACGCGUAAGAAUCUACCCUCAGGUCGGGGACAACCACUGGAAACGGUGGCUAAUACCGGAUGUGCCGAGAGGUGAAAGGCUUGCUGCCUGGGGAAGAGCUUGCGUCUGAUUAGCUAGUUGGUAGUGUAAGAGACUACCAAGGCGACGAUCAGUAGCUGGUCUGAGAGGAUGAUCAGCCACACUGGGACUGAGACACGGCCCAGACUCCUACGGGAGG
rnacentral:rRNA from 1 species